AUCAACUUUCGAUGGUAGGAUAGAGGCCUAUCAUGGUGGUAACGGGUAACGGGGUGUUAGGGCACGACACCGGAGAGGGAGCCUGAGAAACGGCUACCACAUCCAAGGAUGGCAGCAGGCGCGCAAAUUACCCAAUCCCGACACGGGGAGGUAGUGACAAUAAAUAACAAUACGGGGUUCUUUCGGAUCUCGUAAUUGGAAUGAGUACAAUUUAAAUCUCUUAACGAGGAACAAUUGGAGGGCAAGUCUGGUGCCAGCAGCCGCGGUAAUUCCAGCUCCAAUAGCGUAUAUUAAAGUUGUUGCAGUUAAAAAGCUCGUAGUUGAAUUUCGGGGUCAGUAGGUUGGUCGUGCCACUGGUACGUACUGGUCUCACUGAUUCCUCCUUCCUGAUGAACCGUAAUGCCAUUAAUUUGGUGUUGCGGGGAAACUGGACUGUUACUUUGAAAAAAUUAGAGUGUUUAAAGCAGGCUAACGCUUGAAUACAUUAGCAUGGAAUAAUGAAAUAGGACGUUCGAUCCUAUUUUGUUGGUUUCUAGGAUUGACGUAAUGAUUAAUAGGGAUAGUUGGGGGCAUUAGUAUUCAAUUGUCAGAGGUGAAAUUCUUGGAUUUAUUGAAGACUAACUACUGCGAAAGCAUUUGCCAAGGAUGUUUUCAUUAAUCAAGAACGAAAGUUAGGGGAUCGAAGACGAUCAGAUACCGUCGUAGUCUUAACCAUAAACUAUGCCGACUAGGGAUCGGAUGAUGUUAAUUUUUUAAUGACUCAUUCGGCGCCUUACGGGAAACCAAAGUGUUUGGGUUC
rnacentral:rRNA from 1 species